GCUCCGCGGAAAGCGUGCCUGCGGGCGCGGGCCUGGGACCCGACGGAGAGCCGCUCCCCGCCCCCCUGCCCCGCCUCCUCCGAGCGCGACGCGGACCCGCCGGGCCUUCGCUCCACAGCAGCCUCGUUGCCCCUUUGGCGGGGCUGGUGCCACCGGAGGAUGUAGUUUUUGCUUGAAGAUUCGUAACAAAACGUCGUAGGAACGGCCACCUGAUUUCCUCCUGGUGCUGUGCGCUGGCGGAUCAGUCUCUGAUCUUCCUUGAAACCUUCCUUAAAAGCCUAAAGAGCAUCCGAACGGCCACGGCGCGUGUGAUCUUCAGGAGGUCGCCCGUCCACCUUCGCUGCCUCAGCCCUGCGCCGGCAGGACGGGGCUCCCGAUUCCCACGUUUCUCGGAAAAUGAAUGAAUGAAUGAUAGGGUGCGCCAUUUUCACUUUUCCUUGUGGUAGAAAGAAGUGUGGCUUUCCAGAAGCUGUGAAGUACCUGGCAGCGCAGGCAAUGGAGUGUUGGAGUUAGUGGAAUACUCCCGCUGGGGUCCACACGCAGCAGGCUGCUUCCUGUGGAAACAACCGUGCACGGCGUUGAGGGCCGGGGCUCGCUUAGCAUCACCCGGGGCUUCUCGGUCGCUCACUGCUGCGGGGCUUCGCUAUUCCAGUUUCUGUUAUUUCAGCGUAAAUGGCACGAGGGGAUUAUCACUUUUAAGAACUGUAAUGAAACAAAAAAAUGUAAAUACUCUUUUCAAAUCACAUUUUGUCCAUGUCAUUUUUCUCAGCCAGAGAAAGAUGUACCAUUGAAUUGGAAACCUGGGUUCCUGCCUUAAUGGACUAUGGAACGGGAAGCGCUUUAAUUCAAGUAUAUUUGUAUACUUUCCAAAUAGAAGAAAAAAACAAAACAAACUGCAUUAGACUGCUUUUUACUUGUGAUGGACUCCAGGUAUUUUUCUCUGUAAGCCAGUGAGCCUUCAGCAGACAGACCUACAUGGCCUUAGAAUUUGUCAGAAUUAGAUGGCCUUCCGUUCUAUCGUGACUGAUUUUUCAAUUUGUCUUCUUGAAGUGUAGUUUUAUUCUACUUUUAAAAAUCAUUUAUAUGUUAACAGUGUCAAAACGUGGAUUAUCUGUUUAAUUAUUUAUGAACCUCAGCAGGAUAUUUUGUGUGGUCAUUGUCACAUAAAUGACUGGUAUGUGAGAAAAUGACUGCAGACUCCUAUAUCCAAAAAUCACAACAAAAAAAGACAGGAAAAGUAGGCAAGUAGCAGUAGUUAUGGACUCCAUGUUUGUGCCCCCUGCUGAGACUCUUAGGUUGAAAUCCUAACCCCCUAGUGGGGUGGUAUAGGAGAUGGGGCUUUUGGGAGGUAGUUAGGUUUAGAUAAGGUCAUAAAGGUAGAGCCCGCAGAAUGGAUUAAUGUCCUUAUAAGAAGAGCAAGAGACUAGAGCUUGCUCUCCACCACAUGAAGACAUAGCGAGAAGAUGGCCAUCCGUAAACCAGGAAGGGCCCUCCCUGGAACCCACCCAGGCUGGCACCCUGAUCUCAGACUUCCCAGCCUCCAUAACGACAAUUUUCUGUUGUUUAAGCUAUGCAGUCUUCGGUAUUUUUGUUACAGCAACCCAAGCUAAAACAGCAAUGAACUGUUCCCCAAGGUCAAGUGUGGGUGUGGAAUCCUGCUCCAGAGUCACAUCUAACAUACAAGAUUCAAGACCCAGUUUUCUGUCAGAACCUUCUAGCAACUCUCCUCCAGGAGCCAGGUACUUAGUGGUCUUGAAUUCCUUGCUUUCUUUUUCUCAGUGGUAAACUAGAUGGAAGAGUCCUGCUUAACCAUCAGAGAAUCUCAGCAAGAGGUGCUCCUGAAAUAAUCACAGAGGUAAGGAGGGGCAGAGCUCCUACGACAAGUGAGAGGGCGUAAAAUUGAGACCCACGGACCCACUGGGAGGGUUAAAGAAAAUCACUUCGUAACGUUGAAGGACACUUAGGACAUCAGUGUGCUGUGUGCAUUUCAAAGCUGUUUAUCCCUUUCUCAGCAUCUCCAUUCCCCCCAUUCUACUCUCUCUUCUGUGACUUUGACUUUUGUAGGUUCUACAUAGAAGUGAGAUCAGAUGGUAUUUGUCUUUCUGUGUCUGGCUUAUUUCACUUAGCAUAAUACCCUCCAGGUUCAUCCAUGUUGUUGAAAAUGGAUUCCGCCCCCCAAAAAAAGAAAAGAAAAAAA
rnacentral:lncRNA from 1 species